rnacentral:tRNA from 1 species
GAGGGUAUAACUCAGUGGUAGAGCGCAUGCUCAGCAUGAAGGAGGUCCUGGGUUCAAUCCCAGUACCUCCA